rnacentral:rRNA from 1 species
CCUACGGGAGGCAGCAGUGAGGAAUAUUGGUCAAUGGGCGUAAGCCUGAACCAGCCAAGUCGCGUGAAGGAUGAAGGCUCUAUGGAUUGUAAACUUCUUUUAUAAGGGAAUAAAAUGCGGGACGUGUCCCGUUUUGUAUGUACUUUAUGAAUAAGGAUCGGCUAACUCCGUGCCAGCAGCCGCGGUAAUACGGAGGAUCCGAGCGUUAUCCGGAUUUAUUGGGUUUAAAGGGUGCGUAGGCGGCCUGUUAAGUCAGCUGUGAAAGUUUGUGGCUCAACCAUAGAAUUGCCGUUGAAACUGGGAGGCUUGAGUAUGUUUGAGGCAGGCGGAAUGCGUGGUGUAGCGGUGAAAUGCUUAGAUAUCACGCAGAACCCCGAUUGCGAAGGCAGCCUGCCAAGCCAUGACUGACGCUGAUGCACGAAAGCGUGGGGAUCAAACAGGAUUAGAUACCCCAGUAGUC